UCUUGUAUGACCAUUUUUUUUUUCCUUUUUAGUAGCAUUUCUUUGGCCAUGUAUCCAGGGUUCACAUUCUUGUGAGGUAGGUUUAAUUAAUCCUAGUUUAAGCCCUAUAAAUAAACAGCUUCUCCUCUCUGUCAUUUUAUUUCUCUCCAAUCUUCAAUGGCAAUGGGAAAAUCUUUACUUCUCUCUCUCAUUGUAAUUGCCUUUAUGGUCUCUUCUGUUAGCGCUGAUGGUGUAGUAAUAGGUGCGUACACUCGCCUUCGUGCGUGUUCUGCAGAUCCAUACUUUGGAGACUUUGAGUGUGAUGGGGCAUGCAAAGCCCGAGGAUACAGCUCUGGGUCAUGCCGUGACGUGCGAGAAUAUGUCGUUCCACAAUGUUGCUGCGAUUAGUCAUCAACUCUUUUAAAACGCUCGAUAAUAUAUCAAAUCAUAAAGGCUUCUAUCUAUACUUUGAUAAGCCAAUAAUAAUGUACUCAUUACUUUUGUUAUCAGAAUAAAAGUACUCUUAUAUGUCACUA